UACGUAGGGUGCGAGCGUUGUCCGGAAUUAUUGGGCGUAAAGGGCUCGUAGGCGGUCUGUCACGUCGAAAGUGAAAACUCAGGGCUUAACCCUGAGCCUGCUUCCGAUACGGGCAGACUAGAGGUAUGCAGGGGAGAAUGGAAUUCCUGGUGUAGCGGUGAAAUGCGCAGAUAUCAGGAGGAAUACCAGUGGCGAAGGCGGUUCUCUGGGCAUUACCUGACGCUGAGGAGCGAAAGUGUGGGGAGCGAACAGG
rnacentral:rRNA from 1 species